rnacentral:lncRNA from 1 species
AUGACGGGGAAGAAGUCUUCCAGGGAGAAGCGGCGCAAACGAAGCGGUCAGGAGGCGGCGGCGGCCCUCGCAGCGCCGGACCUGGUCCCCGCCGUAGGCAGCAGUGGCAGUGGAAGCACCAGCGGCUGCGGGAGCGCAAGCGGUUGCGGAAGCGUCACCUGCUGUGGGAACACUAGCGUGAGUGGAAGUGUCACCGGCGGUGGGAGCGGCGGCAGCUGCUGGGGUGGCAGCGGCGUGGAGCGCGGUGAGCGUCGGAAGCGGAGAAGCACUGACUCAUCUUCCAGCGUCUCCGGCUCCCUGCAGCAGGAGGCCAAAUAUCUUUUGCCACCUCUGGAAAAAGAGUUAUUCUUGGCAGAGCACAGUGACCUUGAAGAAGGUGGAUUAGACCUGACUGUGGCGUUAAAACCAGUUAGUUUCUAUAUAUCAGACAAAAAAGAAAUGCUUCGACAGUGUUUCUGUAUCAUAGGAGAGAAGAAGUUACAGAAGAUGCUUCCUGAUGUGUUAAAGAACUGUUCAAUAGAAGAAAUUAAAAGACUUUGCCAGGAACAGCUAGAGCUCCUGUCUGAAAAAAAAAUUUUGAAGAUUCUUGAGGGUGACAAUGGUAUGGACUCUGAAAUGGAAGAAGAAGCAGAUGAUGGCUCUAAGACGGUAUCUGAUUUAGUUAAUCAACAAGACAGCUGUGUAGAUUCUACUUCAUCCCUGAGAGAGAACAAGCAACCUGAAGGUUUGGAAUUAAAACAAGGCAAAGGGGAAGAUAGCGAUGUACUCAGUAUAAAUGCAGACGCAUAUGACAGCGACAUAGAAGGCCCCUGUAAUGAAGAAGCAGCUGCUCCUGAAGUCCCAGAAAAUACAGUCCAGAGUGAAGCUGGUCAGAUAGAUGACCUGGAGAAAGACAUUGAGAAAAGCGUGAACGAGAUUCUGGGACUUGCAGAGUCCAGUCCAAAGGAGCCCAAAGCUGCCACCCUGACUGUUCCUCCGCCGGAAGAUGUUCAGCCUUCCGCACAGCAGCUGGAGCUGCUCGAACUUGAAAUGAGGGCCAGAGCUAUUAAAGCCCUGAUGAAAGCUGGUGAUAUAAAAAAGCCAGCCUAGUUUAUUUAAGUUGUGUCUGAAUAUUGGAUGUGUUUGAACAAUGCCACACUGUAUCAUUUUGUAUCUAAUGUUUAUUUGGGGGUCUUACCUGAUAUUUCUCAUAUAACUCUUACUAGAUAAACUCAUCUUAGGUCUAAAAUACAUGUUAUUGUUGUUGUUACUUUUGUAUUAUGUAGUUGUCUUUUGAACUCAUGACACAUAUC